CCGUGUUCGAAAGGGAAACAGCCCAGACCACCAGCUAAGGUCCCAAAAUAUAUGUUAAGUGGAAAAGGAUGUGGCGUUGCCCAGACAACUAGGAUGUUGGCUUAGAAGCAGCCAUCAUUUAAAGAGUGCGUAAUAGCUCACUAGUCGAGUGACACUGCGCCGAAAAUGUACCGGGGCUAAACAUAUUACCGAAGCUGUGGAUUGUCCUUUGGACAAUGGUAGGAGAGCGUUCUAAGGGCGUUGAAGCAUGAUCGUAAGGACAUGUGGAGCGCUUAGAAGUGAGAAUGCCGGUGUGAGUAGCGAAAGACGGGUGAGAAUCCCGUCCACCGAUUGACUAAGGUUUCCAGAGGAAGGCUCGUCCGCUCUGGGUUAGUCGGGUCCUAAGCUGAGGCCGACAGGCGUAGGCGAUGGAUAACAGGUUGAUAUUCCUGUACCACCUAUAAUCGUUUUAAUCGAUGGGGGG
rnacentral:rRNA from 1 species